rnacentral:rRNA from 1 species
GAUGAACGCUAGCGGCAGGCUUAAUACAUGCAAGUCGUGGGGCAGCAGGACUGUAGCAAUACAGUUGCUGGCGACCGGCAAACGGGUGCGGAACACGUACGCAACUUACCCUGAACUGGGGGAUAGCCCGGGGAAACCCGGAUUAAUACCCCGUAAUAUAAUGGAGUGGCAUCACUUUAUUAUUAAAGCUCCGGCGGUUCGGGAUGGGCGUGCGGCUGAUUAGGUAGUUGGUUGAGGUAACGGCUCACCAAGCCUACGAUCAGUAACUGGUGUGAGAGCACGCCCAGCAACACGGGCACGGGGACACGGGCCCGCCUCCUACGGGAGGAAGCAUUAAGGAUGAUUGGCAAAUGGAGGCACCCCUGCCCCAGCCAUGCCGCGUGGAGGAUGAAGGCCUUCUGGGUUGUAACCUUCUUUUAUAGGGGCCGAACCCUGUUUAUUCUUCCGCAGUUGCCGGUACCUAGGAAUAAGCACCGGCUAACUCCGUG